UACUAUCACUAACCACUACAAGAAAAAAUGGGAUCUACGACACAUGAAUUGUGACACUUCCUUCAAAACUAUCCUAAUUUCAUAUCUAGUUGCUUUUAAGGAUGAAGGUGGAAUCAUUGUUAUAGAUUUAAGUGUGAAGCAAGGAGGUUGCAGUGCUCUUUUAAAGCUAUGGUUUAUUAGUUUUAGGACAAGUUGCUCCUGUUAGGUUCAACCUAUAGUAUCCAUCGAUGACACACAAACAUUUGAUACCACUAGUAAAGUUUCUUUCGGAAGUGGAUACUCGCUGAAGGACUACGAUGACAAAAUGUCAGCUUCUAUUUCAUGACGGUCGGCUUUGUUUCACAGUUUCGGAAGAUCGUUUGACAAAUGAUGGUUUGAUUCCUAAUAUAUUUUCAUCUGUGCCGGCUCUGAGUGAUGCUGCUUCUUAUCUUUCACAAACAACAUCAUUCUUAGCUAGUUAUUUCUC